rnacentral:rRNA from 1 species
UAGCCUACGGGGGGCAGCAGUGAGGAAUAUUGGUCAAUGGGCGGAAGCCUGAACCAGCCAAGUAGCGUGCAGGAUGACGGCCCUACGGGUUGUAAACUGCUUUUAUACGGGAAUAACGCGCCUUACGUGUAGGGCUUUGCAUGUACCGUAUGAAUAAGGACCGGCUAAUUCCGUGCCAGCAGCCGCGGUAAUACGGAAGGUCCGGGCGUUAUCCGGAUUUAUUGGGUUUAAAGGGUGCGUAGGCGGUCCGUUAAGUCAGCGGUAAAAUUGCGGGGCUCAACCCCGUCGAGCCGUUGAAACUGGCG